rnacentral:rRNA from 1 species
CCUACGGGUGUCAGCAGUGGGGAAUAUUGGGCAAUGGAGGCAACUCUGACCCCGCAACGCCGCGUGAAGGAAGACGGCCUUAGGGUUGUAAACUUCUGUAGUAAAGGAAGAACAGCAUGACGGUACUUUACAAGCAAGCCCCGGCUACCUAUGUGCCAGCAGCCGCGGUAAGACAUAGGGGGCAAGCGUUGUUCGGAAUUACUGGGCGUAACGGGGGCGUAGGCGGGAGAUUAAGUUCAGAGUGAAAGCCUUGGGCUCAACCCAAGAAAUGCGCUUAAUACUGGUGUUCUAGAGGGUGGGAGAGGUAAGUGGAAUUCCUAGUGUAGCGGUAGAAUGCGUAGAGAUUAGGAGGAACAUCAGAGGCGAAGGCGGCGUACUGGACCAUAACUGACGCUGAGGCUCGAAAGCGUGGGGAGCAAACAGGAUUAGAUACCCGAGUAGUC